AUGGUGGAAGGGUUGGACGAGGAUAUUCAGAACCUCAAGUUCCUCCUCCUCUGCUUUCAGGAGAUAUCGGGCCUCACAAUUAACUUCGCCAAAAGUGAGGUGAUGGUCCUUGGGUAAUCCCAGACGGAAGCUCAGCGAAUUGCCAAUCGCUUGAACUGUUGCUUGGGAUCCUUCCCGACUACUUACCUAGGCAUGCCAAUUAGUGACACGCCUCUACUGGAGAAGGACUUCUGCCCAAUAAUCGCCAAGCUCCAACCUAGGAUAGAGCCUUGGCAGGGGAGAUGGCUUUCCAAAGCCGCUCGAGUGAUUCUGAUGAACUCUUCCCUUAUUAGCCUAUUGAUGUACAUCAUGGGAUUCUAUAGUCUACAUGAAUCCCUUCAUCAUGAGGUCACCAAACUCCUCUCCAGAUUCUUCUGGGUUGGAGAGAACAAUAAA
rnacentral:rRNA from 1 species